rnacentral:rRNA from 1 species
CCUACGGGUGGCAGCAGUGAGGAAUAUUGGUCAAUGGACGGAAGUCUGAACCAGCCAUGCCGCGUGCAGGAAGACGGCUCUAUGAGUUGUAAACUGCUUUUGUACGAGAGUAAACCUGAAUACGUGUAUUGAGCUGAAUGUACUGUAUGAAUAAGGAUCGGCUAACUCCGUGCCAGCAGCCGCGGUAAUACGGAGGAUCCAAGCGUUAUCCGGAUUUAUUGGGUUUAAAGGGUGCGUAGGCGGAUUGAUAAGUGUGAGGUGAAAUGUCCGGGCUUAACUCGGGAAUUGCAGCUAGUACUGUUGAUCUAGAGUGUGGAUGCGGCAGGCGGAAUGUAUGGUGUAGCGGUGAAAUGCUUAGAGAUGAUACAGAACACCGAUUGCGAAGGCAGCUUACUACUCUAUAACUGACGUUGAGGCACGAAAGCGUGGGUAGCGAACAGGAUUAGAUACCCUAGUAGUC